AAAACCCCCCUGUAGUUUCGUAGUUUCUCACUUUGCCUCCUUGUGGUUUAAAAUGUAUCAAAUUGCCCCCCCUGUGGUUUCGUUUUUAUCUUUUCGGUAGCUUUUUCGUUAAUAUUUCAUUAAAUUAUAUACAAAAAAAAAACUUCAGAUACCCAUCUAGAUUUAUCGAAUAUUCACUUUAGUACCCUUUAAUUUUAACUUUAUCACUGAUUUAAGAAAAAAAAUAAUGAAAUUGAUAAGAAAAAGAGAAAAAAAAAUAACAGGGGAGCAAAUUGAUACAUUUUAAACCACAGGGGGGCAAAGUGAGAAACUACGAAAUCACAAGGGGGGGUUUUGAAGUUUUUCCUUUUUUUAACGUAUUGUAUUUUCAAUUAACUGUGGACCGUAAGUGCUAACCAGCUAUUCCAAAAAUAUAUACUGAUAGGAAGGGUAUGUCCAUCGCACUUAAGGGCUCAACCACAGUGCUCACGAGUUUCGACCUGACUCAACCCAACUAGAUAUUUGGUCUAUUGUUGGGCCUCUUGCCUUUAGGUCCCUUGUUGUGGAUUACAGCUCCACUCAACUUAUUAGUCGACUCCUGUGCCUAUCGUCACUAGG
rnacentral:lncRNA from 1 species